AGCUUUCUGAAUCCAUGUCGAGAUUUCGUUUGACAUCAGCCCACCAGGAGUGAUGAGGCUUCUAAGAUAAGUCAAGUA
rnacentral:pre_miRNA from 1 species